rnacentral:pre_miRNA from 1 species
UCCUAUGGACGAGCAAAGAAAGUGGUUUCUUGAGACGGAAUGCACUCCUGGUGAAGAUGCUGUGAA